GCAAGGGUCGCUGUAUCUCCAUCGGCACCCGGAUGCAGUGUUAAAUGAGCAAGGGGGCCAUAGAAAAUUCUUUUCGAACGACUCCACUCAAAGUUGUUUGGGAGCAUAUGCUCCUAUCAACUUUACACAGGACACACAAAAGAAGUACUUUGAUCCUAUUAGACGGGGGAUGAUGAAGAAGCUAGGACAGAAGGGUAGAGUUCAAGAGAGUAGAUUGCGUUUAGAAACGUGGAAUAUAGGAACCUUAACGGGAAAAUCUAUGGAAGUAGUGGAAGUUAUGGUGAGGCGAAGGAUUAAUAUUAUGUGCCUACAAGAAACUAAGUGGGUUGGUCUUAAGGCAAAUGAUCUAGAAAACUCAGGGUUUAAGCUUUGGUAUUCGGGCACAAAUAGAACGAGAAACGGUGUUGGCAUCAUUGUGGACAAGACCUUGACACAAGAUGUUGUAGAUGUCAAAAGGGUAGGAGAUAGAAUCAUGGCAAUCAAGAUUGUAAUAGGACAAGAACUCAUCAAUGUGAUUAGUGCGUACGCACCUCAAGUAGAGUUGGAUACAAGUUCGAAGGAGACAUUUUGGAAAGACCUUGGAGACUUGGUGCAAGGAAUUGCUCAGACGGAGAAGUUAUUUAUAGGAGGAGAUUUAAAUGGACACGUGGGCAGGGAGACGGGCAACAAUAGAGGUUUUCAUGGUGGCCAUGGUUUUGGGGAGAGAAACGAGGAUGGGAAAGCUAUCUUGGAUUUUGCAAUGGCAUAUGAUCUCUUCUUAGCCAACACCUUCUUUAAGAAGAGAGAAGAACAUGUGAUUACCUACAAGAGUGGGUCAUCAAAAACACAAAUAGAUUUUCUUCUAAUGAGGAAAGGGGAUCGUAUAACUUGUAAGGAUUGCAAAGUUAUAUCGGGGGAGAGCUUGGCUAAUCAACAUUGCUUGUUGGUGAUGGAUGUACAUAUCAAAAGAACGAGAAAAAAGAACAAGACUUGGAAGUGCCCAAGGACUAGAUGGUGGAAUCUAAAAGGAGAAAAACAAGUCAUUUUCAAAGAGCAAGUAAUCACCCAGUGUGUGUGGGAUAGAGAGGGGGAAGCUAGCCAAAGGUGGGAUUCCAUGGCUAGCUGUAUCCGAAAAGUAGCAAAAGAGGUAUUAGGAGAGUCCAAAGGCUUUGCUCCACACCAAAAGGAAUCUUGGUGGUGGAAUGAGGAGGUACAAACAAAGGUGAAGGCUAAGAAGGAAUGUUGUAAAGCCUUAUACAAGGAUAGGACUGAUGAAAUUGGUGAAAGGUAUAGAAGUGUGAAGCAAGAGGCGAAGAAAGCUAUGAGAGAAGCUAAGUUAGCGGCUUAUGACGAUAUGUAUAAGCAACUAGAUACCAAAGAAGGAGAGUUGGGUAUCUAUAAACUAGCUAGAGCAAGGGAAAAGAAAACAAUGGACCUAAACCAAGUGAGGUGCAUUAAGGAUGAGGAUGGAAAGGUUUUUGCUCUAGAGAAUGCGGUCAAAGACAGAUGGAGAGGUUAUUUUCAUAAUCUUUUCAAUGAAGGACAUGAAAUGAGUACUUCUUUAGGGGAGUUGAGUAACUCAGAAGAGUGUAGAAACUACUCCUUUUAUCGUCGAAUCAGGAAGGAAGAAGUGGUUGUAGCUUUGAAGAAGAUGAAGCAUAGAAAAGCAGUGGGCCCAGACGAUAUACCGAUUGAAGUGUGGAAAGCCUUGGGAGAGACAGGUAUAACAUGGCUCACUGACCUUUUCAAUAGGAUUUUGAAAACGAAGAAGAUGCCAAACGAGUGGCGAAAGAGCACCUUAGUGCCUAUUUACAAGAAUAAGGGCGACGUACAAAAUUGCAUGAACUAUAGGGGUAUUAAGCUAAUGAGUCAUACAAUGAAGCUCUGGGAGAGAGUCAUUGAGCAUAGAUUGAGGCAAGAGACACGGGUUUCGGACAACCAAUUCGGGUUCAUGCAAGGGCACUCAACCAUGGAGGCAAUCUAUCUCUUACGAAGAUUGAUGGAAAGAUAUAGAGAUGAGAAAAAGGAUUUACACAUGGUCUUUAUAGAUUUGGAAAAAGCGUAUGAUAGGGUCCCAAGAGACAUUCUUUGGAGGAUUUUAGAGAAGAAAGGAGUACGAGUAGCAUAUAUUCAAGCUAUAAAGGAUAUGUAUGAAGGAGCAAAGACUGCCGUAAGAACUCAUGAAGGACAAACCGAAAGCUUCCCCAUAACUGUAGGAUUACAUCAAGGCUCAUCCUUAAGUCCUUACCUUUUUGCGUUGGUAAUGGAUGAGUUAACAGGGCAUAUUCAAGAUGAUAUUCCUUGGUGUAUGCUUUUCGCAGACGAUAUAGUGUUGAUAGAUGAAACUCAGGAAGGGGUAAAUGCGAAGCUUAACCUUUGGAGAGAAGUGUUGGAAUCUAAAGGUCUUCGCUUAAGCCGAUCAAAGAUAGAAUAUAUGGAGUGUAAGUUCAGUGCAAAUGGAGGCCAAAAUGAGUUAGGGGUGAGGAUCGGAGAUUAGGAAAUACCAAAGAGCGACCGUUUUUGCUACCUAGGAUCUAUCUUGCAAAAGAACGGAGAAUUAGAUGGAGAUCUCAACCAUAGAAUACAAGCUGGAUGGAUGAAGUGGAAGAGUGCAUCCGGCGUGUUGUGUGAUCGUCGUAUGCCACUGAAGCUUAAGGGAAAAUUUUAUAGGACGGCAAUAAGGCCGGCGAUGCUGUAUGGCACAUAAUGUUGGGCGGUGAAGCAUCAACACGUACACAAAAUGGGUGUAGCGGAGAUGAGGAUGCUUCGUUGGGUGUGUGGGCACACGAGAAAGGAUAAGAUUAGGAAUGACGAUAUCCGAGGUAAAGUAGGAGUAGCCAAAAUUGAAGGAAAGCUGAGAGAAAAUCGGUUACGGUGGUUUGGACAUGUGCAAAGAAGGCCUACUGACGCUCCUGUUAGAAGAUGCGACUACGGGACAGAGGUUCAGGGCCGAAGGGGUAGAGGAAGACCUAGGAAAACUUUGGAAGAGACUCUAAGAAAAGACUUAGAGUACUUGGAUUUAAUGGAGGACAUGACACAGGAUCGAGCACAAUGGCGUUCUAAGAUUCAUAUAGCCGACCCCACUCAGUGACUUGGAUUUUUCAAGUCUCCAAUCUAGAAGUUUUCCCCACUCGGGAAAUUAAGGGAACACUACCUCAACCUACAUGCUCCACUCACAAAGCUUCAACAUACAAGCUUCAACAAAAGAAAAAUUCAAAGAACUUAGUGAAGAAGACUUUGGUGUAUUUAACACAAUACGUUGAAAUGAAACAAAGCUUAUUUAUUGAUAUCUCCAAUAAGUUACAAAUAUGUACAUAUACAUGAGUCAAAAUAAACAAACAAGAGGAAGCCUUCACAAAGGUUGCUUAGGAGAAGUCUCAGCAGUCGGUAGAGCCCCAGAAAGAGAAGGCACCGGAGGGGGAUCAUUCGGAGCCUCAGUACUAGACAGCACCCUAGAAGGAGGAGGCAUCGGAGGUUGAUCAUUUGGAGCUUCAUUAUGUGGUACAGCUCCAGAAGACGAAGGCAAUAAAUGCCUUUGGAACAAACCCACAAACCUUUGAUGAUCAUGUAAAAUCUGACCAUCAGAUUCCUUCAUCUGGUCAAGCUUCCUCUUCAUGUUUGUAGCAUAGUCAUGUGCGAGCCGGUGCAACUAUUUAUUCUUAUGCUUGAGCCCUCUAAUCUCCUGUUUGAGACUCAUCACUUCAGCCGCCAAUGAUUCAACUUGGCAGGUUCGAGCAAAUAGGCGUUGGGCCAUAUUAGACACAGAACCUGCACACUGAACACUGAGAGCUAGAGAAUCCUUAACAGCCAACUCAUCAGACCGUUUGGAAAGUAGUCUAUUAUCUUUGGGAAUGAGAAGGUUCAUGGCCACCACCGCAGCGGUCAUAUCAUUCUUCAUCACGGAAUCCCCAACGGUAAGAGGACCAGUAGGGGAUAAGAAGGAUGGGCGCCAUAUGUUGUCUGGAGAAGGCGUGGCUGCCUCUUCAACAAGGUUCAAGUCAAAACGACGGUCGGAGGGGACAGACAUUUUCAAAGGUGUUGAAGAGAGAAAAGGUCGGACAAAUCAAGAUCUUAGAAAUGUAAGAAGGGAGCUUCUACUGGUGGAGAUUCAAGUGUGCUUUGGAACUUAAUACCAGCCUCUAUAAAAAUCUGCACUCGAUGGAGCUUCAGAAAUCGAAGAGGCGCCUGCUCAGAAAUCGAAAAGGGUUUGCUUUCUCAAAAACUGGGCUACUCAAAGACCACGAAGGCCGAUCUCAGGAAUCGAAGAGGCGUUUGCUUUCCCAAAGGUUGGGCUGCUCAAAGACCACGAAGGUCGAUCGUAGAAAUCGAAGAGGCGCUUGCUUUCUCAAAAGCUGGGCUGCUCAGAGACCACGAGGGCCGAUCUCAGAAAUCGAAGAGGCACCUGCUUUUUCAACCUUGUCAGCACCUGUCACAUGCACACUCAACUUUGCGAAAUUACGGGCAUUCUGUCGAAGAUUUCUGGUGAAGUAGAAAGCACGUGAAUGUUAUUGUUCAAUCAUCCACUUUCCACACGCAACAUUAGCUCACGGGUACCACAAAUAACUUUGCCAAAAAUCUCUGACAAAGUUUAGACACGUGAAGCUUGCAGCUCCCAUUACAUCGCUAUGACCAAGAAGGGUAAAAGAAUAGCAAAGAAACAUCACUAACAAAGUUUAGACACAUAAAUUUUGAAGGUCUAGCUACCAUAUUAUUACCCACAAGGGUAAAGGAACAGGACCACUGCUGGAUAAUUGGAAAGUCCCUGUGUGUCAACCUCUGUGCUCCGUGGCAAGGUAGACUAGCAAACAGGCCUAACCUUUACUCACAUUCGAGAAUACACUCCCAACAAGAUUGCUUGCUUCAAGAUCGAAGAGGCACCGUCCUCCGAAUCUCGAGAGCCAGACUCCCAACAUGAUUACUUUCUCAAAAAACAACGAGACACCGCUCUCCGAAUCUCGAGAGCCAGACUCCUAGCAGGAUUGCUUUCUCAAAAAUCGAAGAGGCACCGUUCUCCGAAUCUCGAGAGACAGAUCCUCGACAGGAUUGCUUGUUCGAAAACCGAAGAGGCACCGCUUUCUCAACUUCAAGAGCCCCUUAGAUAAAGCUUGUUUGUAAUCCUCACACCAUUUUCUCAACUUCGAGAGCCAGAUCUCCUUGGAUAAAGCUUGUUUGUAAUCUUCACACGUAACAUCAGCUUUCCAGAUACCACAGACCACUUUUUCAAAGUGCUCUAACAGAGUUAAAACACGUGAAGCUGGCAGCUCCGACUACCGUGCUAUGACCAAGCAGGGUAAAAGAAUAACAUUACUCCUUGUUGUUAGGGAGACUCCUAUAUAUGUCGACCUCCAUCCUCAACGGACAGGCAGACCUGCAAAAAUGCUCAACCCUUCCUCAUAUCUGAGAGGGCACUCCCAACGAAGCCUCUCGAAAUACUCAGCUUUCUUUUCCCCCGAGAAUACCUCUGCAAACAAGCUACACUAGAGCAAGAAUAUCUCAUAUCAUCAGGAUUAAAAGCAAAAGUAUCCCAUAUCAUGUUUUUUCCCUGUCUUUUCCUUUGGCCUUGUUCUUACCUGCAAGACAAGGAGAAAGAAAGCAAUCGGUCAGCACUUGGAAUCAAGCUUCCAGUUCGGAACUGACUGCCUGGAACCCCUUACCUGAUUACUUACCUGGCAUUGCUCUCGAGUACUCAUCUUCAACAUCUUAUGCUCCCCGAGAAGAUACCACAUCUGCCUGAGGAACAAAUAGGGUAAGUGAGAAGGAUAUAAGGAAGCAUAUGGAGACAAGCGCAACAGAACACGUGCCGUUACAUCCACUACUUUGUCAACAGCAAAAGUAUCCCAUAUCAGCAGGGUCGAACGUACUCUAGAUUUGAUGGACUUGUUUUGACCCUCAAAUUCUUCAGUCGGCCUUAUACUCUGGCGGAAACCAGAAAACCCUCCAGCCCAGUUCAAGAAUAAGCCUGUGGAAAGUUACUUCUUCAAAAGCAAAAGUAUCUCAUAUCACCUUUUCUCCUUUUCUUCUCUUUAUCCUUCAUGCUGCCUGCAAGAUAAGGAGAAGGAUAACAAUUAGCCGGAACUCGAAAUCAAACUUCUGAUAUGGGACUGAUUGCUUGGAGCUCUGAUUGCUUACCUUGUCUGUCACCUCUUUCAGCAGAUCCCCUAGCUCGGCGACUUGGGGGACUCCUACUACAUGGUUUGUAUCGUGCUUGAUCAAGCCUGAAACUACAAGUAAGCGUCAAGUGAAAUUGAUACAUUACCUUGUACAUCUCCACCAGUUAAAGAUACCACCCCUGGAGGGAGGAAUAGUACUUCCAAAGAAGAUGCCACAUCUACCUAUGAGACAGAUAAGGCAAGUGAAGACGAUACCACACUUCGGUACUUAAAAGUUUCGUGAUUACGAGAUCAUUCUCCCAUAAUAUUUCCUAAUGUCAUUUGUACUAAAUCAUUCACUUGUACUCACUAAAGGAGAGCUUGAACCUAUGUACUGUGUAAACCCUUCACAAUUAAUGAGAACUCAUUUACUUCGUGGACGUAGCCAAUCUGGGUAAACCACGUACAUCUUGUGUUUGCUUCCUGUCUCUAUCCAUUUACAUACUUAUCCACACUAAUGACCGGAGCAAUCUAGUGAAGAUCACAAACUUAAUAUUUAAGAUGAUAUUCUUUGGUGUAUGCUUUUCGCAAACGAUAUAGUGUUGAUAGAUGAAACGCAGGAAGGGGUAAACGCGAAGCUUAACCUUUGGAGAGAAGUGUUGGAAUCUAAAGGUCUUCGCCUAAGCCGAUCAAAGACAGAAUAUAUGGAGUGCAAGUUCAGUGCAAAUGGAGGCCAAAAUGAGUUAGGGAUGAGGAUCGGAGAUCAGGAAAUACCAAAGAGCGACCGUUUUCGCUACCUAGGAUCUAUCUUGCAAAAGAACGGAGAAUUUGAUGAAGAUCUCACCCAUAGAAUACAAGCUGGAUGGAUGAAGUGGAAGAGUGCAUCCGGCGUGUUGUGUGACUGUCGUAGGCCACUGAAGCUCAAGGGAAAAUUUUAUAGGACGAGAAUAAGGCCGGCGAUGCUGUAUGGCACAGAAUGUUGGGCGGUGAAGCAUCAACACGUAGGUGUAGUGGAGAUGAGGAUGCUUCGUUAGAUGUGUGGGCACAUGAGAAAGGAUAAGAUUAGGAAUAAGGAUAUCCGAGGUAAAGUAGGAGUAGCCAAAAUUGAAGGAAAGAGGAGAGAAACUCGGUUACGGUGGUUUGGACAUGUGCAAAGAAGGCCUACUGAUGCUCCGGUUCGAAGAUGUGACUACGGGACAGAGGUUCAGGGCCGAAGGGGUAGAGGAAGACCUAGGAAAACUUUGGAAGAGACCCUAAGAAAAGACUUAGAGUACUUGGAUCUGACGGAGGACAUGACACCAAACCGAGCGCAAUGGCGUUCUAGGAUUUAUAUAGCCGACCCCACUUAGUGGGAAAAGGCUUUGUUGUUGUUGUUGUUGUUGUAUGUGUGGGUAACCUCAAACAUAUUUGUCAAACAAGUUUUUUUAUAAAUUGUUGUAGUGUUUCCAUUUUUUGGUGCAGAGCUCCACGAUUAGCUAGCGUGAAUCUUGGUAUCUUCAUAUGCAUGCAAUGUUCAGGGAUCCACAUGGUUCCCAUAGCAGGUUGCAUAUAUCCAAUGUAAUUACCAAUGAUGUUUUGGCUUCUUUCCAUUUUGGUAGUAAGGUCAUAUCUCUGUCAAGCAAGGUCGUACUGAGAGUGAGAACAUCAAGGGAACUCUCUCUUACCCUCACUGACCCACAUUAAAAACGAGGCACAUUAUGUUUGCACCCUAUUUUUGCAUAUCUCUGUAAAUUUAGGUAUUUUUUACCCAAAUUUUUUUUUCGUUAAGCUUUCAUCUUGCUGUAAAUUUAGGAGUUUUCUCUCUGUGUUGGUUCAUCUGCUUAUACUUUUCAAAUGUUGGUUCAUCUUAUGCAAAUAUUGAUAUGCUUAACAGCCUGCUGACGGCAACAGUGGCUGCAGAAGUGGAGGAAAUGACGAUGGUAAUUGAGGUGCAGUGGUAACAGGAGAGGUAGCAGGAGGCAGUGACCGUGGUGGCGAAGACAUUGUUGGUUGCAGAGUAAGUUUCUAUUGAGUUUCUUGAGAUGUAUUGUAAUUUGUAUUUGUAUAACACCGUAACACUCUGGUGAGAAUAUUUAGCUACUAAUAGAUAGAGGGUAAAUAAUAGUGUCCCGAUAACUGACUAUAAAUUUGAUAUCAAAUCUAAUGACGGAUAUUUUUUUUGGUCAUUUAGAAAAUUUUCUUUAAUAAUCGAUUAUAGUGUUGUCUGAGAGGUGAACAAUGUAAAUUGACUUCAAGACCAACUCUAAUCAAUGAGAUGGUAAAGAUUGAUUAAAAUUCGGACUACGUAAUAGGCUAGACUAGCAAAUUCAGUAAUUAAGUACUAAGAGAGUGUUACUGAAAUAUUAGAUGGAUAAGACAUAAUUGAGGAGAGCCCGUUAACAAGAUUUUAAUUAUUAUUUUCUUCCAACUAAUCUUCCAACUAACCUCUCACUUAUUUUACUUUUGUAUUGAAUGGGGAAGCAGCAUGUGAUGAGUAAGACCAAAUAAGGCUCAAUUCUUUCAAAUUUGUCUUAAUUUUGGAUUGCUAUAUUGUAAGACCAAAAACCAAUACCAACAUGAUUCAAAGAACCUCAAUCUACUAUCUUUAACAAUUGAAACUAUAUUGUAGGGUGUUAAAUCUUUAGUCUUAAUUUGAAGACUGAAAAUAAAAUAAUUUGAAGCUAAAUUGAUUAGUAUUAAGCUUAGCCUUCUCUCAAACUACAUUGGUUAUUAUUACUAAUAGUUACAUUUUGUGCAGUUUAGGGAACUUAUGCGAUCUGUUCUAUUGUUUAUAUCAUUAAACUUUCCUCUACUUUCCCUUUCUUACAGGGUUUUAUUGAAAACAAACUUAUACAUCCCAACGCAAAAGGAGAGAGGAGGCAAUGGCUAGCAUUGUUGAUAACGUGAGUAAAUUUGUAAACAGGAUUUCUAAUAGUUUGCUAGCUAUAGAGUUAUUUCUUCGUCUCCCAUAAGGUUCAACUUUUUAUAUACACUUUCAUGAUUUCUCCAUUUCUCUUUUCAACUACUGAAGCAAAGAGAUAGUGUAUGUCUACCAAAUUCAGAAAAUCAAUAAUGUUUUACGCAACUCUUUUAAAUGGUUAAUUGUUGUACUAUGUCAAAUUAGAUGUAGGGUUGAUGAUAGAAAAUUUAUUCAUGUCAGUAAUUCAUCGUGUUCAAUUUUCAUGCUUUGCCAUUCUUAUCCACUUUGUUACUUCUUUUGAUGCAACCUGAAUUAUAUAUAUAUAUUUUUAAUCUUCAUCAGGCACUUCUCUUUGGAAAGAAACAUGUUUGGUCUUCAAUACACCAUUUAAAUGUGAAGGAGGAAGUUCCCCUCUCACAUGGUUAGAGCCGUAUAGGUAAAUGAUUCUUUUUUCUUUGAUCAAGUAUUUGGUACUUUACCUUAUGUCUAAUGCCUUUUGUUGCUGUUUGUUUGUGUUAACUGAUAUUUUUGAAUCUUUGGUAGUAUUUUUAUACUCUUUUGGAAAGAAAUAAUUUAUUUUAUCCUGUGUUUUUUUUUCUCAAAUAAAUCCAUGAUUUGUUAAUUGUUAGCUUUUCUUUGCUCACUAAAAUAAGCCAUCUUAAUUAAUUAAGGUCUCUUGCUACUGUUUUUGUGAUAAUAUUACUAUCUAUUUUUCAUUUUCUUCUUUUCAGUACACAUUGACUUCAUGUUACUUUUUAAAAUUGGUCCUUACUUGGCUGAGCCAUAGUAAAUUGUCCAUAACUCACCUGCAUACAAUCUCUCGAUUUUGAAGAUUACUCAAAUGAAAUUUGUGAUUAAUUUUAUUGAAUUGUUUUUAUUUAAUUUAAUCUGUAAUUUUUUAAAAAUAUGCAGGGGAGUUCAAAGUCAAAGAGGAGGGGCGUAAGCACAUAUUAAGUUUUUGUAUGUAAAUCUGAUUGUUUGAUUUUGGGUGUAUAGAUCAUGGGUUAAGUGAUGCAGGUGAAGCUUUGUUUUAGGACCAUCUUUGAGAAGUAUUGGUUGUUGAGCUGCCAGAAAAUGGUCACUCAAUCUCUCAAAGGGGCAGCUUUGGAUUGCCUUUCCAAAAUGUUGAGGAGGUCAUAGAAAUUAAGCUAAUUGAAACAUUAUUUGAUAAUUUUGGCAUAUGAAUUUGAAUUGGUAUUGAUUUUUUUUCAUAACUUUUGGAACGCCGAGAUGGGACUACCAAGACCUAGUUUGGGAGUGAGGUGCUUAAAAAAAAAGCACCCAUGAAAAAAAGCUGUGAGGGUUUUAUGUGUUUGGUAAACUGAAAAAAAGGGCUUAUUUUGGAA
rnacentral:lncRNA from 1 species